GAUGAACGCUGGCGGCGUGCCUAAUACAUGCAAGUCGAGCGAAUGGAUUAAGAGCUUGCUCUUAUGAAGUUAGCGGCGGACGGGUGAGUAACACGUGAGUAACCUGCCCAUAAGACUGGGAUAACUCCGGGAAACCGGGGCUAAUACCGGAUAACAUUUUGAACCGCAUGGUUCGAAAUUGAAAGGCGGCUUUGGCUGUCACUUAUGGAUGGACUCGCGUCGCAUUAGCUAGUUGGUGAGGUAACGGCUCACCAAGGCAACGAUGCGUAGCCGACCUGAGAGGGUGAUCGGCCACACUGGGACUGAGACACGGCCCAGACUCCUACGGGAGGCAGCAGUAGGGAAUCUUCCGCAAUGGACGAAAGUCUGACGGAGCAACGCCGCGUGAGUGAUGAAGGCUUUCGGGUCGUAAAACUCUGUUGUCAGGGAAGAACAAGUGCUAGUUGAAUAAGCUGGCACCUUGACGGUACCUAACCAGAAAGCCACGGCUAACUACGUGCCAGCCGCCGCCGUAA
rnacentral:rRNA from 1 species